CUAAAGAGGUAGGAAUUGAACCUACACCCAAGAGAUCAAAACCCUUGGUACUCCCUUAUACUACUCCU
rnacentral:tRNA from 1 species